rnacentral:tRNA from 1 species
AGAACCCUAGUUAAAUUAUAACAUAUGCUUGUCAAGCAUAAAUUACUUGUUAAGUGAGUCCUA